rnacentral:tRNA from 1 species
GACUGCAUAGCUCAGCCUGGUCAGAGCACUAGACUCUUAAUCUAGGUGUCGGGGGUUCAAAUCCCCCUGCGGUCA